CGAUUACGAUUUUCGAGACAGACAUUCGGAGCGACGAAGAAAAGGAAAAAGCAGAAGAAUCGAAGAUGAUUUACAGAAAAUGGAGUUUGUUAACUGGGCCGCCUGCUAUGCUGGGCGCUAUCGUCGGUACAAUCGUCGUUGCCAAUCUUCUCUUCGUCCAAAAUGACCCAUUCCUUGAGCCAAAUCCAAAGAAGCAAGAAAAAGCAGCUUCAACCAAGUAGAGUGAUCUGUGUCAUAUUUGUUGGUUUGAGGUUUCCUCUUGUUGGAUUCAUCAUCUGUAACUUGCAUAAGUUUCUGCUCAGUCAUAACAUUUCAGUCCAAUAAAACAAAAACUGCUAGCAAAAGUGAAGUUCUGCAUUUGAUGUUUUGCUCGCUUUUGGUGUACUCGUUUAAGUUUAUCAAUGCCCCAAACAAAAAGUUGGCGCUACUUCACCAGUAUUUUGAUGCAUUAUUCAGGUUAUGGAUAGAAUAUGAGAAGGUCUACAUAUAUGCCCAGAUAAAAUUAGGAUGUGAUUGAACAUUUUCUCUGUUUUUAUGAUGCUUUCAGGUCAGGGAUCUGAAAGAACCUAGAAUAUGGCCAGAUAAAGUUGAUAUU